rnacentral:ncRNA from 1 species
GUUGUAGUUGAUGAACGCAAAGCCCCGCGCCUGAUCAAUCACAUGAAAAAGCGGGUUCCAGUCAAACAUAGACAGCAUGAAGCUCGGCAGUGAAUUCGCGAGAAACAUCUUACCAGAAGCGACCAUGUUUGCCCGUUG